GAGUCCCGAAGGGAGGGAGGGCGGGGCGCAAGCGCGGUUAGUCCCGCGGUGGGCGCCGGGGCGCCCGGGAUCCUACCUUCUCCUGUUGCAGGCGCGCGGUUCCCAGCGGGCCGGCGGCGGUCAGCCGAGGUCGAGACACCCGCAGGGUGGCCUUAGCGGCCGGUCGUACCACGGCAGCCCCGCCGAUCAGGUUCCUUUGGGAGACUUCGAAUUGUUGGCGACCUGAUGGCCAAAAGAAAGGAAGAAAAUUUUUCCUCUCCUAAAAAUGCCAAAAGGCCAAGACAAGAAGAAUUGGAGGAUUUUGAUAAAGAUGGUGAUGAAGACGAAUGUAAAGGUACUUCUACUUUGACUGCAGCAGAAGUUGGAAUAAUUGAGAGUAUUCACCUAAAAAACUUCAUGUGUCAUUCAAUGCUUGGACCCUUUAAGUUUGGUUCUAAUGUCAACUUUGUUGUUGGCAACAAUGGAAGUGGGAAGAGCGCAGUACUCACAGCUCUCAUAGUUGGUCUUGGUGGAAGAGCAGUUGCUACUAAUAGAGGAUCCUCUUUAAAAGGUUUUGUGAAGGAUGGACAGAACUCUGCAGAUAUCUCAAUAACAUUGAGGAACAGAGGAGAUGAUGCCUUUAAAGCCAGUGUGUAUGGUAACUCUAUACUUAUACAGCAACACAUCAGCAUAGAUGGAAGUCGAUCUUAUAAACUUAAAAGUGCAACAGGCUCCGUGGUUUCCACUAAGAAAGAAGAGCUGAUUGCAAUUCUUGAUCAUUUUAACAUCCAGGUGGAUAAUCCAGUUUCCGUUUUAACACAAGAAAUGAGCAAGCAGUUCUUACAGUCUAAAAAUGAAGGAGACAAAUACAAAUUCUUCAUGAAAGCAACACAACUUGAACAGAUGAAGGAAGAUUAUUCAUACAUUAUGGAAACAAAAGAAAGAACAAAGGAGCAGAUACAUCAAGGAGAAGAGCGGCUUACUGAACUAAAGCGCCAGUGCGUAGAGAAAGAGGAACGUUUUCAAAGUAUUGCUGGUUUAAGUACAAUGAAGACUAAUCUAGAGUCCUUGAAACAUGAAAUGGCUUGGGCAGUGGUCAAUGAAAUUGAAAAACAAUUGAAUGCUAUCAGAGAUAAUAUCAAAAUUGGAGAAGAUCGUGCUGCUAGACUUGACAGGAAAAUGGAAGAACAGCAGGUCAGACUUAAUGAAGCAGAACAAAAGUACAAGGAUAUUCAAGACAAACUAGAAAAGAUUAGUGAAGAGACAAAUGCACGAGCACCAGAAUGUAUGGCAUUGAAAGCAGAUGUCGUUGCUAAGAAAAGGGCCUAUAAUGAAGCUGAGGUUUUAUAUAACCGAUCCUUAAAUGAAUAUAAAGCAUUAAAGAAAGAUGAUGAGCAGCUUUGUAAACGAAUUGAAGAACUGAAAAAAAGCACUGACCAAUCUUUGGAACCUGAACGGUUGGAAAGACAAAAAAAAAUAUCUUGGUUAAAAGAGAGAGUAAAGGCCUUACGAAAUCAAGAAAAUUCAGUCAAUCAAGAGAUCGAACAGUUUCAGCAAGCCAUAGAAAAGGACAAAGAAGAAUAUGGCAAAAUUAAGCGAGAAGAGUCAGAUGUGAAGCAUGCACUGAGCUACAAUCAGAGGCAACUGAAAGAAUUGAAAGAUAGUAAAACUGAUCGACUCAAAAGAUUUGGCCCUAAUGUUCCAGCUCUUCUUGAAGCCAUAGAUGAUGCUUAUAGACAAGGACUUUUUACCUAUAAACCUGUAGGCCCUUUAGGAGCUUGCAUUCAUCUUCGGGACCCGGAACUUGCUUUGGCUAUUGAAUCUUGCUUAAAAGGACUUCUGCAGGCCUAUUGUUGCCAUAAUCAUGCUGAUGAACGUGUCCUUCAGGCACUCAUGAAAAGGUUUUAUUUACCAGGGACCUCACGGCCACAGAUAAUAGUUUCUGAGUUUCGGAAUGAGAUAUAUGAUGUAAGACACAGAGCUGCUUAUCAUCCAGAGUUUCCAACAGUUCUGACAGCUUUAGAAAUAGAUAAUGCGGUCGUGGCAAAUAGCCUGAUUGACAUGAGAGGCAUAGAGACAGUGCUACUAAUCAAAAAUAAUUCUGUAGCUCGUGCAGUAAUGCAGUCCCAAAAGCCACCCAAAAAUUGUAGAGAAGCUUUUACUGCUGAGGGCGAUCAAGUUUUUGCAGGACGUUAUUAUUCAUCUGAAAAUACAAGACCUAAGUUCCUAAGCAGAGAUGUGGAUUCUGAAAUAAGUGACUUGGAGAAUGAGGUUGAAAAUAAGAUGGCCCAGAUAUUAAAUCUUCAGCAACAUUUAUCUGACCUUGAAAAAGAUAUUAAACGCAAUGAGGAACUUCUUAAAAGGUGCCAACUACAUUAUAAAGAACUGGAGAUGAAAAUAAGAAAAAGUAAUUCUGAAAUUCGGGAACUUGAGAACAUAGAAGAACACCAGUCUGUAGAUAUUGCAACUUUGGAAGAUGAAGCUCAGGAAAAUAAAAGCAAAAUGAAAAUGGUUGAGAAACAUAUGGAGCAACAAAAAGAAAAUAUGGAGCAUCUUAAAAGUCUGAAAAUAGAAGCAGAAAAUAAGUAUGAUGCAAUUAAAUUAAAAAUUAAUCAACUAUCAGAGCUAGCCGACCCACUUAAGGAUGAAUUAAACCUUGCUGAUUCUGAAGUAGAUAACCAAAAACGAGGGAAACGACAUUAUGAAGAAAAACAAAAAGAACACCUGCAUACCUUAAAUAAAAAGAAACGAGAACUGGAUAUGAAAGAGAAAGAACUAGAGGAGAAAAUGUCACAAGCAAGACAGAUCUGCCCGGAGCGUAUAGAAGUAGAAAAAUCUGCAUCAAUUCUGGACAAAGAAAUUAAUCGAUUAAGGCAGAAGAUACAGGCAGAACAUGCUAGUCAUGGAGAUCGAGAGGAAAUAAUGAGGCAGUACCAAGAAGCAAGAGAGACCUAUCUUGAUCUAGAUAAUAAAGUAAGGACUUUAAAAAAGUUUAUUAAAUUAUUGGGAGAAAUCAUGGACCACAGAUUCAAAACAUAUCAACAAUUUAGAAGGUGUUUGACUUUACGAUGCAAAUUGUACUUUGACAACUUACUAUCUCAGCGGGCCUAUUGUGGAAAAAUGAAUUUUGACCACAAGAAUGAAACUCUAAGUAUAUCAUAUGCUUGGCCCACAAGAAAUACUAGAGAACAUCUUCAGAUGAAAGAAACAUGGAUGGAAACAUGGAACUGCAGAAGGAACAGAGAGGAAUGCAAAAGGUUCAGCCUGGAGAAGGAAAUAAAGCUGCCUUCAAUGACAUGAGAGCCUUGUCUGGAGGCGAACGUUCUUUCUCCACCGUGUGUUUUAUUCUUUCCCUAUGGUCCAUCGCGGAAUCUCCUUUCAGAUGCCUGGAUGAGUUUGAUGUCUACAUGGAUAUGGUUAAUAGGAGAAUAGCCAUGGACUUGAUACUGAAGAUGGCAGAUUCCCAGCGUUUUAGACAGUUUAUCUUACUUACACCUCAAAGCAUGAGUUCACUUCCAUCAAGUAAACUGAUAAGAAUUCUCCGAAUGUCUGAUCCCGAAAGAGGACAAACUACAUUGCCUUUCAGACCUGUGACUCAAGAAGAAGAAGAUGACCAAAGUUGAUUUGUAACGUAACAUGCCUUGUCCUGAUAUUGAAGGAUUUGUGAAGGGAAAAAAAUUCUGGACUCUUUGAUGUAAUAAAAUGAGACUGGAGGUAUUCUGAAAGAAACUCCUUUAUAUAUCCAACCACAAUCAAACGUAUAAAUAAGCCUAGAAAACCCACUACAACCAGCAAUUUAAGAUUACUAUUACUUUAAGAAAAUCAAAAAAAAAAAAAAAGGAAGAAAAGAAAAUCAAUUUCAUAGUAUUGGUUUUAAAUCUUUUUAAGUUUUUUUAUACCAUCUAUUUUUAUAGAUUCUUUUUCAGAAAUAAAAUUUUGUACAUAUAUACAUGUACAUAUCUGUUUAGUUUGGGUUCAUUUCUAUAGUAUUUUGUAAGAAAAUAAAAGUUUGAGCACCUGAUUAUAUUUAGUUCUGCUUUUCCAGAUAUUACAUUCUAUAGUUACCAAAAAUGGAUGAAGGGAGGGAUUUCUCAUUGCAGAGGGUGGGGUGCAAGGGCAGUAAGACACUUGUACGGAGCACUGAAGCUUUGCCAAUUCUCUACACAUGCCUUUUUCUUAGUCCUUUGUCCACCCUACCAAGAGCUUGUAACCAGUAUAAGAACUGGAUAGUAACAAUUUUUCACUCUGACCUCCAGCAUGCUUGCCUGUUUUAAAAGCCCUCAGUUUGCAGUCCAGGCACUCUUCAGGCUUGUCCUUAGCUGAGAGGACACAGGCUAGAGGGACUGUGCAGACCAGGCUGAGAGAAGGGCUGGAAAAACUGGGAGUGGAGGGUGGAUCCUCAUGGAGCAGGAGAGUAGCUGGUGGCUCCAGGAUCCUGAGGCCAUGCAGUUGAUGGUGAGCUGACAUCAAUUCUAAGACUCAUCCUAAUUUAGGGGUGUUAAAAAGUGUGCUGCUUAGAAUGAUUAAAUAUAGUUAUUGUAAAAAAUUAUAUUUAUGAACUUUUUAUUUUAGAAAACAUGAAUUUUAUUGCUCCCCGUAUUCUUUGUUUGAUACUAGGAUUCAUGCUAAACUUUUAAAGAACAUAUUGGAUAUCAAGAAGCAUUCCUUACAUUAGUAGCAAUAAAUAUUAGAAUAAAUGUUUAUGAAACUGAACUAUUUUCAGAAAAAGGGCAGUAUAUUAAGAGCAGGGACUGUUCUCUAGUUACUGAGGAAAACUGGAUUUUGUUUGUGUUUUUGGUGGAAGAAGAAGUUUAAGACACUUUAGUUCUUAAAUUGAGGUUUGUUGCCAAAUGAGAAGUUCACAAACUUGGGCUUUCUAAUCUGAGAAUUUCCAGGAAGAGGAAAGUGUGUGCUGAAUAUUUUAAACAUUUCUCACUGAUCAUACAAAGUCUGAUUUUUAAAUUUACAUUUAUAAUGCCUUUGUAUUAAAAGUAUUUUUAACAUGUGCUUUUCCAAAUUAAAAAUGAAGUAGAGUAUACCAAAUACAUAAACUUCCAUUAGCUAAGGAACUAAUGUCUGAAUUUUGUUAUAGUUUUGAAUGUUGUGCUCUUUAAUACAGAACGGGAAACAUAAUCCUCAGGUAUCCCAGCAUCUCUUGUUGAAUUGAAGAUUAUUCAUUGCUUUGGCCUCACAAAGUUUUGGUUUCAACUAUCAUAAAUGAAAAUAUCUUCCUUUAAUGUUCUAAGUAGUGAUAAUAUUAUUAGAAUGAAAGAAUAAAAAGAAAUUGUUCUUUUAAAACAUGUGUAACCUCUAAAAAUAAAACAAUUUAUAUGUA